rnacentral:tRNA from 1 species
CCCAGAGUGGUGCAAACAGGCAACACACUUGGCUGUUAACCAAAAGGUUGGUGGUUCAAAUCCACCCACAGGUG